AAUGGCACCACGAGGGUUCAACUGUCUCUUACUCCCAAUCAGUGAAAUUGACCUUCCCGUGCAGAGGCGGGGAUAAUUAUACAAGACGAGAAGACCCUGUGGAGCUUAAGUCGUAUAACUCAACAAAUACUAAUAUUUAACCUAUUGGAAUAACAUGUAUAAUCUAUGAGUUAUAGUCUUUGGUUGGGGUGACCUCGGAGCAUAAAAGAACCUCCGAAUGAAUAAAACCAAGAUUAACAAAUCUAAGUGUAAUAUUACCAGUAAUUGACCCAUAUUUUGAUCAACGGAACAAGUUACCCCAGGGAUAACAGCGCAAUCCUAUUUGAGAGCCCAUAUCGAAAACAGGGUUUACGACCUCGAUGUUGGAUCAGGACAUCCAAAUGGUGCAACCGCUAUUAAAGGUUCGUUUGUUCAACGAUUAAAGUCCUACGUGAUCUGAGUUCAGACCGGAGAAAUCCAGGUCGGUUUCUAUCUGUAAAUUCAUUUCUCCCAGUACGAAAGGACAAGAGAAAUAGGGCCAAUAUCCAUAAUAAGCCCUAGAAUUAAUAUAUGAAUUUAUCUAAAUAUACUAAAUCAACCCAUAUACCCCCAAGAACAGGGCUAUUAAGAUGGCAGAGCCGG
rnacentral:ncRNA from 1 species